rfam:Ixodes scapularis strain Wikel colony gcontig_1108379643156, whole genome shotgun sequence.
UUUCCCUCAGGAUAGCUGGCGCUUGUUGCCGAGACCAGUCACACCUGGUAAAGCGAAUGAUUAGAGGCAUUGGGGUCGAAACGACCUCAACCUAUUCUCAAACUUUCAAAGAGUGUGUCGGAGGCCUUCUGGUCUGAGGAGAUAAACUCAAGCUCAG